rnacentral:rRNA from 1 species
AGCAGCCGCGGUAAUUCCAGCUCCAAUAGCGUAUAUUAAAGUUGUUGCGGUUAAAAAGCUCGUAGUUGAACUUCGGGGUUUACCCAUUGGUCAGGCUUAAUUGUCUGCACUGGUGAGAUGAAUCUCUACCUUCUGAGGAACUUUCAUGCCAUUUAUUUGGUGUGAUGGGAAAUCAAGACUGUUACUUUGAAAAAAUUAGAGUGUUUAAAGCAGGCUAACGUCUGAAUACAUUAGCAUGGAAUAAUGAAAUAGGACGGACUGAUUCUAUUUCGUUGGUUUCUAGGAUCACCGUAAUGAUUAAUAGGGAUAGUUGGGGGCAUUAGUAUUCAAUUGUCAGAGGUGAAAUUCUUGGAUUUAUUGAAGACUAACUACUGCGAAAGCAUUUGCCAAGGAUGUUUUCAUUAAUCAAGAACGAAAGUUAGGGGAUCGAAGACGAUCAGAUACCGUCGUAGUCUUAACCAUAAACUAUGCCGACUAGGGAUCGGACGAAGUUAAUUUUAUAAUGACGCGUUCGGCGCCUUACG